rnacentral:rRNA from 1 species
UACGAAGGGGGCGAGCGUUGUUCGGAUUUACUGGGCGUAAAGGGCGCGUAGGCGGCGCGAGAAGUCGAGUGUGAAAGCCCCGGGCUCAACCUGGGAAUUGCGCUCGAUACUCUUGUGCUUGAGUUCGGGAGAGGAGCGUGGAAUUCCCAGUGUAGAGGUGAAAUUCGUAGAUAUUCGCAAGAACACCAGUGGCGAAGGCGGCUCACUGGCCCGGAACUGACGCUGAGGUGCGAAAGCGUGGGGAGCAAACAGG